AUUGAACGCUGGCGGCAGGCCUAACACAUGCAAGUCGAACGAGUGGCGGACGGGUGGGUAAUGACUGGGAAACUGCCUGAUGGAGGGGGAUAACUACUGGAAACGGUAGCUAAUACCGCAUACCAUCAGAUGUGCCCAGAUGGGAUUAGCUAGUUGGUGGGGUAACGGCUCACCAAGGCGACGAUCCCUAGCUGGUCUGAGAGGAUGACCAGCCACACUGGAACUGAGACACGGUCCAGACGCCUACGGGAGGCAGCAGUGGGGAAUAUUGGACAAUGGGCGCAAGCCUGAUGCAGCCAUGCCGCGUGUAUGAAGAAGGCCUUCGGAUUGUAAAGUACUUUCAGUGGGGAGGCGUUACCAGCAGAAGAAGCACCGGCUAACUCCGUGCCAGCAGCCGCGGUAAUAC
rnacentral:rRNA from 1 species